GAAAAAACGAAAUAUCCAACUUUUCACUACAUUUUACAUGUUCACGUCUUCAGCCUGUCUUGUUUGUUCCGUUUCUUUAAACAUUUCUUUUUGAUCUUCUCUUUCCUUCCUUUUUAUUUAAGAUUUUCCUUUCUAGGCAGAAGGGCCUUUCCUGCCCCUUCCCCCUGGCGGCUUGGGUCUAAUGUGCAAACUCCUCCUCCAAACCUUAGACCCUUCCAGCUCUAGAUCUCUCCCCACCUCCUAUCAAGCCCACCCGUCACUCCUUCCCCCACCCCACAGCACGAACACGCCCAAGGACAAUCGCUCCCCAGCGAACUCGCUGCACUCAGGGACCAGUCCCCAGGACGCUGUGCAGGCGGUCAAGGACAGCGAGUCAGAGAGGUAGGGGACGGGGCUCAGGGGACCCAAGGACGGGGUGGCCGUGUGUGUGUGUGUGUGUGUGUGUGUGUGUGUGUUUGCGGGAGCGUGAACGCGAACGUGGAAGCGAGAGGGGGGUGGAUGGGAGACUCCCAUUUGACCCAGACUCCUACUUCUAAGCCCCUUCCUUCCAAACUAGGAUGGGCCCUGCCGCUGAGCACCCGUCCAGCACCCACCAGCCUGCACGCAGGAGGCAGCGCGGGGAAGCACAGCCACAAACAGACCUCCAAGGAGCCCUCCGAAAGUAGUGACGCUCACUCCCCCACCAGCAGAUUAUUCGAGGAAGAGAUGGGCGGGAGGGGGGCAAAAUCUCUUAUUUCGCGAUAAUUUUAGCUGCCCAUUAGACCCCACUUGUUCUGAGAUCGUUCUCUCUAAAUUUACCGAGUUAAGUCAUCUUUCUUUCGUCCAUUUGCCUUCGAGAGAAGCGAGGGGUUGGGGGUGGGAAUGUCGCUUAGGGGUCAAUGAAAAAUCCAGAGCUUCUGAGUUUAGUUUUGCGCUUCUGAGCCCCCGCUGCCCAGUUCUCUGGGCAGUGGCUUGGCCCACUCCAUCUCUGAGCCCCCCCCCCCCAUCCCCCCCCCCCUUCCUUCCUGCAGCCUCUGCCAUCCCUCGGCCACUUCUCUUGCCAGGACCUUUUGACUCGCGCGAUUGGGGGAGGGGAGCGAGUCUAAGCGCAGGAGACAUCACUAGAGGCAGCAUGACAUCGCCAAAAGAACAAAGUCUCUGCAGCUUAUCAGACCAGCUAUGAGACCCUGAGUGUCUCGAGAUUCAGUCUAUUCUCUGGUCAUGGGAACAGUCAUGCUUAACUUGCAGAACUGCUGGAGGAGAAACCAAAGGAAGGGGGAUGUGGCUGAG
rnacentral:lncRNA from 1 species